rnacentral:rRNA from 1 species
UACGGAGGGUGCAAGCGUUAUCCGGAUUCACUGGGUUUAAAGGGUGCGUAGGUGGGUUGGUAAGUCAGUGGUGAAAUCUCCGAGCUUAACUUGGAAACUGCCAUUGAUACUAUCAGUCUUGAAUAUUGUGGAGGUUAGCGGAAUAUGUCAUGUAGCGGUGAAAUGCUUAGAUAUGACAUAGAACACCAAUUGCGAAGGCAGCUGACUACGCAUAUAUUGACACUGAGGCACGAAAGCGUGGGGAUCAAACAGG